AGAGUUUGAUCAUGGCUCAGAAUCAACGCUGGCGGCGCGCCUAACACAUGCAAGUCGAACGAGAAAGUGGAGCAAUCCAUGAGUACAGUGGCGUACGGGUGAGUAACACGUGGGUAAUCUACCUUUUAGUGGGGAAUAACCAGGGGAAACUCUGGCUAAUACCGCAUAAGCCUGAGAAGGGAAAGCAGCAAUGCGCUGAAAGAGGAGCCCGCGGCCGAUUAGCUAGUUGGUGGGGUAAGAGCCCACCAAGGCAGAGAUCGGUAGCCGGCCUGAGAGGGCACACGGCCACACUGGCACUGAAACACGGGCCAGACUCCUACGGGAGGCAGCAGUGGGGAAUCUUGCACAAUGGGGGAAACCCUGAUGCAGCGACGCCGCGUGAGCGAUGAAGCCCUUCGGGGUGUAAAGCUCUUUCGUCAGGGACGAUAAUGACGGUACCUGGAGAAGCAGCUGCGGCUAACUACGUGCCAGCAGCCGCGGUAAUACGUAGGCAGCAAGCGUUGUUCGGAGUUACUGGGCGUAAAGGGUGUGUAGGCGGUUCUUUAAGUUUGGUGUGAAAUCUCCCGGCUCAACUGGGAGGGUGCGCCGAAUACUGAGGGACUAGAGUACGGGAGAGGAAAGUGGAAUUCCUGGUGUAGCGGUGAAAUGCGUAGAUAUCAGGAGGAACACCGGUGGUGUAGACGGCUUUCUGGACCGUAACUGACGCUGAGACACGAAAGCGUGGGUAGCAAACAGGAUUAGAUACCCUAGUAGUCC
rnacentral:rRNA from 1 species